rfam:Coprinopsis cinerea okayama7#130 chromosome 3 cont3.3, whole genome shotgun sequence.
UCUCCGUUAGUAUAUCGGUUAGUACACGCGCCUGUCAUUUAAUUGGCCGCGCGAAAGCUGGGUUCGACUCCCAGACGGAGAG